UGUUCUUCACGAGUCUCUGCGGUCAUCAUUGUGCCAUCAGACACAAUGAGAAGCUCAUCAGAAAAUGCAAUAUAAUGUGUAAUUUGUAUUUGUGUAUAGAGGAGAAGGGUAUUCCUGCACAACAGGCUGCAGUUUCAGGACCGCAUUUCUAGGACCGCAGUUCUAGGACCCUAGUUUUUCGUGACAGCGCCACCUACCGUACUGGAUCAACACUAAUUAAAGAUGGACAACGUGGACAGCAAUCAGACGUGAAGUGGAAGAAUUUAAUAGAAAGAUUGACAAACAACUGAGGAAAGAAGGGAGACCAUUCAAUUGAGUUGAAGCCUACAGCCAUUCUAUCCAUGCAGCAACUGAUGGAAAAGGGGUUCGCUUUGGUGCUGUUGUCGCAAAAAUGACAUAUAUAUUAUAUAUAUAUAAUAUAUAUAUAAAUAAACAUUCGUGAAUCAUUCUUGUGUCUUGUCUUGCCUCUCAACAACCUUUAAAAUAUCGGCUGUAAUUUAGUGACUGCAUACGCUGAUUCCAACUUUAACUUACCUGAUAAUGAGCUAAUUCACUUUAAGGGGGUUAAUCAAUAUACUGUAUAAUUCAAGAGACUAAGACUUUUAAAGUUCUCCAUUUUUUACAAUUGUUUUAAAAUUGAUAUACAAUUUUCAUUUAUAUUUUGUGUAAAUUCAUGUUUAAAUUUAAAAUUGUGACUCAAAGCACACUUAGUAAUUAACCUCUGCUGCAUUUUGAAUCAAAAAUCACAUUUAAAAACAAAUACUACUGAGAUUAAUAUAUUGAUGCUAUAUACAAACAUGACUACAAACUACCAACAGGGCCCUAGAACUGCGGUCCUGAAACUGCAGCCAUCGCUAUAUCAUCCAGUACGGUAGGUGGCGCUGUCACGAAAAACUAGGGUCCUAGAACUGCGGUCCUAGAUCUGCGGUCCUGAAACUGCAGCCUCCGGUUGUGCAGGAACAUACUAUUGG